rnacentral:rRNA from 1 species
UUCCGGUUGAUCCUGCCGGACCUGACUGCUAUCGGAUUGAUACUAAGCCAUGCGAGUCUUUGUAGUAAUACAAGGCAUACGGCUCAGUAACGCGUAGUCAACCUACCCUAUGGACAAGAAUAAUCUCGGGAAACUGAGCAUAAUUCUUGAUAGACCAUAAUGCCUGGAAUGGUUUAUGGUUAAAAUGAUUCGUCGCCAUAGGAUGGGACUGCGGCCUAUCAGCUUGUUGGUGAGGUAAUGGCCCACCAAGGCGAUUACAGGUACGGGCUCUGAGAGGAGAAGCCCGGAGAUGGGUACUGAGACAAGGACCCAGGCCCUAUGGGGCGCAGCAGGCGAGAAAACUUUGCAAUGUGCGAAAGCACGACAAGGUUAGUCCGAGUGAUUUCUGCUAAAGAGAUCUUUUGCUAGUUAUAAAACCACUAGUGAAUAAGGGGUGGGCAAGUUCUGGUGUCAGCCGCCGCGGUAAAACCAGCACCUCAAGUGGUCAGGAUGAUUAUUGGGCCUAAAGCAUCCGUAGCCGGCUCUGUAAGUUUUCGGUUAAAUCUAUGCGCUCAACGUAUGG